AGUGAACGCUGGCGGUAGGCCUAACACAUGCAAGUCGAACGGCAGCACAGUAAGAGCUUGCUCUUACGGGUGGCGAGUGGCGGACGGGUGAGGAAUACAUCGGAAUCUACUUUUUCGUGGGGGAUAACGUAGGGAAACUUACGCUAAUACCGCAUACGACCUACGGGUGAAAGCAGGGGAUCUUCGGACCUUGCGCGAUUGAAUGAGCCGAUGUCGGAUUAGCUAGUUGGCGGGGUAAAGGCCCACCAAGGCGACGAUCCGUAGCUGGUCUGAGGGAUGAUCAGCCACACUGGAACUGAGACACGGUCCAGACUCCUACGGGAGGCAGCAGUGGGGAAUAUUGGACAAUGGGCGCAAGCCUGAUCCAGCCAUACCGCGUGGGUGAAGAAGGCCUUCGGGUUGUAAAGCCCUUUUGUUGGGAAAGAAAAGCAGCAGGUUAAUACCCCGCUGUUCUGACGGUACCCAAAGAAUAAGCACCGGCUAACUUCGUG
rnacentral:rRNA from 1 species